rnacentral:rRNA from 1 species
CAAGUCGAGCGGAACGAGUUAUCUGAACCUUCGGGGGACGAUAACGGCGUCGAGCGGCGGACGGGUGAGUAAUGCCUAGGAAAUUGCCCUGAUGUGGGGGAUAACCAUUGGAAACGAUGGCUAAUACCGCAUGAUGCCUACGGGCCAAAGAGGGGGACCUUCGGGCCUCUCGCGUCAGGAUAUGCCUAGGUGGGAUUAGCUAGUUGGUGAGGUAAGGGCUCACCAAGGCGACGAUCCCUAGCUGGUCUGAGAGGAUGAUCAGCCACACUGGAACUGAGACACGGUCCAGACUCCUACGGGAGGCAGCAGUGGGGAAUAUUGCACAAUGGGCGCAAGCCUGAUGCAGCCAUGCCGCGUGUAUGAAGAAGGCCUUCGGGUUGUAAAGUACUUUCAGUCGUGAGGAAGGCGGCGUCGUUAAUAGCGGCGUUGUUUGACGUUAGCGACAGAAGAAGCACCGGCUAACUCCGUGCCAGC